rnacentral:rRNA from 1 species
AACGAACGCUGGCGGCAUGCCUAACACAUGCAAGUCAGGGAGAAAAGGGUAGCAAUAUCCUGAGUAAACCGGCGAACGGGUGAGUAACACGUAGGCAACUUACCUUGAGAACGGGAAUAACCCCGGGAAACCGGGGCUAAUACCCGAUGUUAUUCCGUUGUAGCAUUGCAAUGGAAUAAAAAGCCCGCAAGGGCGUCACAAGAUAGGCCUGCGUCCCAUUAGAUAGUUGGCGGGGUAACAGCCCACCAAGUCGACGAUGGGUAGCUGGUCUGAGAGGACGAUCAGCCACACUGGAACUGAGACACGGUCCAGACUUCUACGGAAGGCAGCAGGUGAGGAAUAUUGCUCAAUGGGCGAAAGCCUGAAGCAGCGACGCCGCGUGAAGGAUGAAAUCCGUAGGAUGUAAACUUCUUUGGCGGGGAAGAAUGUGCGCCUUGGGCGCAUUGACGGUACCCGUGAAUAAGCACCGGCCAACUACGUGCCAGC